rnacentral:rRNA from 1 species
UACGUAGGGGGCGAGCGUUGUCCGGAUUUAUUGGGCGUAAAGAGCUCGUAGGCGGUUUGUCACGUCUGCUGUGAAAACUGGAGGCUCAACCUCCAGCCUGCAGUGGGUACGGGCAGACUAGAGUGCGGUAGGGGAGACUGGAAUUCCUGGUGUAGCGGUGAAAUGCGCAGAUAUCAGGAGGAACACCGAUGGCGAAGGCAGGUCUCUGGGCAUUAACUGACGCUGAGGAGCGAAAGCAUGGGGAGCGAACAGG